AGUGAACGCUGGCGGUAGGCCUAACACAUGCAAGUCGAACGGCAGCACAGUAAGAGCUUGCUCUUACGGGUGGCGAGUGGCGGACGGGUGAGGCAUACAUCGGAAUCUACUUUUUCGUGGGGGAUAACGUAGGGAAACUUACGCUAAUACCGCAUACGACCUACGGGUGAAAGCAGGGGAUCUUCGGACCUUGCGCGAUUGAAUGGGCCGAUGUCGGAUUAGCUAGUUGGCGGGGUAAAGGCCCACCAAGGCGACGAUGCGUAGCUGGUCUGAGAGGAUGAUCAGCCACACUGGAACUGAGACACGGUCCAGACUCCUACGGGAGGCAGCAGUGGGGAAUAUUGGACAAUGGGCGCAAGCCUGAUCCAGCCAUACCGCGUGAGUGAAGAAGGCCUUCGGGUUGUAAAGCCCUUUUGUUGGGAAAGAAAAGCAGCAUGUUAAUACCCCGCUGUUCUGACGGUACCCAAAGAAUAAGCACCGGCUAACUUCGUG
rnacentral:rRNA from 1 species